rnacentral:rRNA from 1 species
UACUCAACCCUGCUGGCGGCAGGCCUAACACAUGCAAGUCGAGCGGAUGAAGGGAGCUUGCUCCUGGAUUCAGCGGCGGACGGGUGAGUAAUGCCUAGGAAUCUGCCUGGUAGUGGGGGAUAACGUCCGGAAACGGGCGCUAAUACCGCAUACGUCCUGAGGGAGAAAGUGGGGGAUCUUCGGACCUCACGCUAUCAGAUGAGCCUAGGUCGGAUUAGCUAGUUGGUGGGGUAAAGGCCUACCAAGGCGACGAUCCGUAACUGGUCUGAGAGGAUGAUCAGUCACACUGGAACUGAGACACGGUCCAGACUCCUACGGGAGGCAGCAGUGGGGAAUAUUGGACAAUGGGCGAAAGCCUGAUCCAGCCAUGCCGCGUGUGUGAAGAAGGUCUUCGGAUUGUAAAGCACUUUAAGUUGGGAGGAAGGGCAGUAAGUUAAUACCUUGCUGUUUUGACGUUACCAACACAAUAACCCCGGCUACUUCUUCCAUCAGCCGCGGUAAUACCAAAGGGUGCAAGCGUUAAUCGAAUUACUGGGCCUAAAGCCCGC